GGGGGUAUAGUUCAGUGGAAGAAUGCUUGCCUCCCAUGUGUGAGGCCCUGGGCUCAAUCCCCAUUACCUCAA
rnacentral:tRNA from 1 species